GAGUUUUUCGCGAACCUGCUCUACUGAAAUAAAAUAUUGCUCCACGUCCACUUCAUAUAGAACAAAAAAUGGAAUAACAACCGACGAAACCAGAAGGAGGUGCGGCUUUAGCUAUAAUGGAGCCUCGGAAGUGGCUUACGGCAACAUAGUAUACUCGUAGUAAACCAUAUUGUUGUUACUUAUAUAUACUACACCUCGUACUGAUGCUCCACAGAUAAUUGCAACGCUGGAACUAUUCCAAACACUGGAAUACCGGGAUGUGGAAACUCUUCUGGCGUUGUAGAAGAGACGACUAACUCUCCAUCUACAAAAGACGAUUCAAGCUCUACUGCAGCCAUAACACCGAAUGUUGAUACCGGUGUAGAAACAACUAGCUCUGCUGUAAAGAUUGCUAGAGGUUACUUCAUAGCAUUAUCCAUGUUGGCUGCUUUACUUGCAGUUCAAAAUCUUAUGUAACAACUAGGUCGAAACAAAAUAUUGAUGUGCCUGUUUAGUAUUAUGAGAACUUUAAUGUUGCUAAAACUGUAAUAUUGUGUACUCACUUUCUUCUGCCGUCGCUGAUUGAAAUACCAUGUGUCUUGUAAGAUUACAAAAGGUUCAGUUCUUUGGGCCCCAACCCAAUGAUGAUGAAUGGUAUGCCCAAACUGCUAAACAAAAGUUAUAACAGAACAAUAAAAAAUAACG